rnacentral:RNase_P_RNA from 1 species
UGAGCAGACUAUGCGGUUGCGGAAACGCCUGUUUUUACAGGUUUUUAGUUUACGAGGAAAGUCCGGGCAUCAUAGGGCAGGAUAACUGCUAACGGCAGCCGGGGGCGACCCUAGGGCUAGUGCAACAGAAAAGAGACUGCCGGAUUUUUGAAUCCGGUGAUGGUGGAAUGGUGAGGUAAGAGCUCACCGGGGUGCAGGAGACUGCACCGCCGUGUAAACCCUAUCCGGUGCAACGUCGAAAUGGUGUGUGCUGAUUAUAACGCCUGCCCGGCGGAUCAGAGCACAGCGACGGCUUGACCCAUCCGGCGACGGAUGGGCUAGAUAAAUAACCGCACAUGACAGAACCCGGCUUAUCGGUCUGGUCAGGAC